ACAGGACAACAAGGUGUCAGCAUCAUUACAUGGACAGGUCUGGAGCUACAGGACAACAAGGUGUCAGCAUCAUUACAUGGACAGGUCUGGAACUACCAACCUACAGGACAACAAGGUGUUAGCAUCAUUACAUGGACAGGUCUGGAACUACCAACCUACAGGACAACAAGGUGUCAGCAUCAUUACAUGGACAGGUCUGGAACUACAGGACAACAAGGUAUCAGCAUCAUUACAUGGACAGGUCUGGAACUACAGGACAACAAGGUAUCAUUACAUGGACAGGUCUGGAACUACCAACCUACAGGACAACAAGGUGUCAGCAUCAUUACAUGGACAGGUCUGGAACUACCAACCUACAGGACAACAAGGUAUCAGCAUCAUUACAUGGACAGGUCUGGAACUACAGGACAACAAGGUAUCAGCAUCAUUACAUGGACAGGUCUGGAACUACAGGACAACAAGGUGUCAGCAUCAUUACAUGGACAGGUCUGGAGCUACAGGACAACAAGGUGUCAGCAUCAUUACAUGGACAGGUCUGGAACUACAGGACAACAAGGUAUCAUUACAUGGACAGGUCUGGAACUACAGGACAACAAGGUGUCAGCAUCAUUACAUGGACAGGUCUGGAACUACAGGACAACAAGGUAUCAUUACAUGGACAGGUCUGGAACUACAGGACAACAAGGUGUCAGCAUCAUUACAUGGACAGGUCUGGAACUACAGGACAACAAGGUAUCAGCAUCAUUACAUGGACAGGUCUGGAACUACAGGACAACAAGGUGUCAGCAUCAUUACAUGGACAGGUCUGGAACUACCAACCUACAGGACAACAAGGUGUCAGCAUCAUUACAUGGACAGGUCUGGAACUACCAACCUACAGGACAACAAGGUGUCAGCAUCAUUACAUGGACAGGUCUGGAACUACAGGACAACAAGGUAUCAGCAUCAUUACAUGGACAGGUCUGGAA